rnacentral:rRNA from 1 species
AGAGUUUGAUCCUGGCUCAGAGCGAACGCUGGCGGCGUGCUUAACACAUGCAAGUCGAACGCGCAGCAUUCUGUAGCAAUACAGGGUGUGGGCGCGUGGCGAACGGGUGCGUAACACGUGGAUAACCUUCCUUCAGGUGGGGAAUAACCCAGUGAAAAUUGGGCUAAUACCGCAUAACAUGACGAUGCCACAUGGUGUUGUCUUCAAAGCCGCAAGGCGCCAGAAGAGGGAUCCGCGGCCGAUUAGCUUGUUGGCGAGGUAAUGGCUCACCAAGGCAUUGAUCGGUAGCCGGACUGAGAGGUUGGCCGGCCACACUGGAACUGAGACACGGUCCAGACUCCUACGGGAGGCAGCAGUGGGGAAUCUUGCACAAUGGACGAAAGUCUGACGCAGCAACGCCGCGUGGGGGAUGAAGCUUUUCGGAGUGUAAACCCCUUUCGACCCGGAAGAAUGCCCGCAAGGGCUUGACGGUACGGGUAUAAGAAGCCCCGGCUAACUACGUGCCAGCAGCCGCGGUAAUACGUAGGGGGCCAGCGUUGCUCGGAAUUACUGGGCGUAAAGGGUCCGUAGGCGGUGUGGCAAGUCGGGAGUGAAAUCUCUGGGCUUAACCCAGAGGCUGCUUCCGAAACUGCCAUGCUAGAGUGUGAGAGAGGCGAGUGGAAUUACGGGUGUAGCGGUGAAAUGCGUAGAUAUCCGUAGGAACAUCCGAGGCGAAGGCGGCUCGCUGGAUCACAACUGACGCUGAGGGACGAAAGCUAGGGGAGCAAACAGGAUUAGAUACCCUGGUAGUCCUAGCCCUAAACCAUCAGACUUGGGGUGUGCCCUGUACGGGGCACGUCCCGUAGCUAACGCGUUAAGUCCUGCGCCUGGGGAGUACGGUCGCAAGGCUGAAACUCAAAGGAAUGACGGGGGCCCGCACAAGCGGUGGAACAUGUGGCUCAAUCGACGCACGCGAAGAAUCUUACCUGGGCUUGAACCGCACAGGACCAUCUUUGGAAACAGAGACUUC